AAUGGUGCUUCACUUCUUGAGCCAUUGAAACACAAAAGAACGAAACUUUAAAAACACAAGAACCGAACUUUGUAGCUUUUCUGCUUAAAGCUUUGAUCUUUGCAGCUCUGUUUGAAAUGUAGUGUACUGGGUCGUUUUCGAAACUCUGAGCUGCGGAGGCUUUAUAUUUGGGUUUUGGGAGUUCUUUUCAUGGUGUUGAUGAGUAUUGCUUCAAAGCCAUGAAGAACUUUCAGUGGUAUAAGCAGAUUUCCAACAAUGGCAAACCAGAGAGGAGGCUAUCACUGGGAGAAUACAAGAGGGCGGUUUCGUGGUCCAAGUACUUGGUUUCUCCAGGGGCUGAGAUUAA
rnacentral:lncRNA from 1 species